AUUGAACGCUAGCGGGAUGCCUUACACAUGCAAGUCGAACGGCAGCGCGGACUUCGGUCUGGCGGCGAGUGGCGAACGGGUGAGUAAUGUAUCGGAACGUGCCCAGUAGCGGGGGAUAACUACUCGAAAGAGUAGCUAAUACCGCAUACGCCCUACGGGGGAAAGGGGGGGAUCGCAAGACCUCUCACUAUUGGAGCGGCCGAUAUCGGAUUAGCUAGUUGGUGAGGUAAAGGCUCACCAAGGCGACGAUCCGUAGCUGGUUUGAGAGGACGACCAGCCACACUGGGACUGAGACACGGCCCAGACGCCUACGGGAGGCAGCAGUGGGGAAUUUUGGACAAUGGGGGGAAACCCUGAUCCAGCCAUUCCGCGUGUGCGAUGAAGGCCUUCGGGUUGUAAAGCACUUUUGGCAGGAAAGAAAUCGCAUCAAUUAAUACUUGGUGUGGAUGACGGUACCUGCAGAAUAAGCACCGGCUAACUACGUGCCAGCAGCCGCGGUAA
rnacentral:rRNA from 1 species